GAUGAACGCUGGCGGCGUGCCUAAUACAUGCAAGUCGAGCGGACAGACGAGGAGCUUGCUCCUCUGACGUUAGCGGCGGACGGGUGAGUAACACGUGGAUAACCUACCUAUAAGACUGGGAUAACUUCGGGAAACCGGAGCUAAUACCGGAUAAUAUAUUGAACCGCAUGGUUCAAUAGUGAAAGACGGUUUUGCUGUCACUUAUAGAUGGAUCCGCGCCGCAUUAGCUAGUUGGUAAGGUAACGGCUUACCAAGGCAACGAUGCGUAGCCGACCUGUGAGGGUGAUCGGCCACACUGGAACUGAGACACGGUCCAGACUCCUACGGGAGGCAGCAGUAGGGAAUCUUCCGCAAUGGGCGAAAGCCUGACGGAGCAACGCCGCGUGAGUGAUGAAGGUCUUCGGAUCGUAAAACUCUGUUAUUAGGGAAGAACAAAUGUGUAAGUAACUAUGCACGUCUUGACGGUACCUAAUCAGAAAGCCACGGCUAACUACGUG
rnacentral:rRNA from 1 species